GAUGAACGCUAGCUACAGGCUUAACACAUGCAAGUCGCGGGGCAGCAUGGGGGUUGCUUGCAAUCCCCGAUGGCGACCGGCGCACGGGUGAGUAACGCGUAUCCAACCUGCCCUUCACCACGGGAUAACCCGGCGAAAGUCGGACUAAUACCGUAUGUUGUCCAUUGACGGCAUCCGAUUUGGACGAAAGGUUUGGCGGUGAAGGAUGGGGAUGCGUCCGAUUAGCUGGACGGCGGGGUGACGGCCCACCGUGGCGACGAUCGGUAGGGGUUCUGAGAGGAAGGUCCCCCACACUGGAACUGAGACACGGUCCAGACUCCUACGGGAGGCAGCAGUGAGGAAUAUUGGUCAAUGGGCGUAAGCCUGAACCAGCCAAGUGGCGUGCAGGAUGACGGCCCUAUGGGUUGUAAACUGCUUUUAUGCGGGGAUAAAGUGGCCCACGUGUGGGUUUUUGCAGGUACCGCAUGAAUAAGGACCGGCUAAUUCCGUG
rnacentral:rRNA from 1 species